AAAAUCAGCAAUCCUUGAAUAUAUACUCUAUGGCAGUGACGGUGAACCGUUUGAGCUUGGCGUGUCAGCAUUUUGAAAAAACCCUAACUUAACUCUGGUGCCGUGUCACAUAUAGAAAUUUUUUG